UUUUAUAGAUAAAUUAAUUAAGAUUAUUUAUAUUAAAAAAAAUUAAAAUUAAUUUAUUUAUUUUGUUGGGGUGACAGAAAAAUAAAUAAAACUUUUUUUAUAUGAAAACAUAUAUAAGUGAUUAAAUGAUCCAUUAAUAAUGAUUAUAAGAAAAA
rnacentral:rRNA from 1 species